UUAGCUCAUAUUUGUAUGGAAUGGGAUCGUUUGCCUAUGUUUGCCGCUAGGGGCGCUGUUCCAAUUGCAAACAAGGUUGGGUUA
rfam:Bombyx mori DNA, contig: Bm_scaf4_contig3657, strain: p50T/Dazao, build 2, whole genome shotgun sequence.